GACGAACGCUGGCGGCGUGCUUAACACAUGCAAGUCGAACGGUGAAGCGCCUUCCUUUUUGGUGGGUGUGGAUGAGUGGCGAACGGGUGAGUAACACGUGAGUAACCUGCCCCCUUCUUCUGGAUAACCGCAUGAAAGUGUGGCUAAUACGGGAUAUUCUGGGUCUGUCGCAUGAUGGGUCUGGGAAAGAUAUUGUUUCGGUGGGGGAUGGGCUCGCGGCCUAUCAGCUUGUUGGUGGGGUGAUGGCCUACCAAGGCGGUGACGGGUAGCCGGCCUGAGAGGGUGGACGGGCACACUGGGACUGGGACACGGCCAAGACUCCUACGGGAGGCAGCAGUGGGGAAUAUUGCACAAUGGGCGCAAGCCUGAUGCAGCGACGCCGCGUGAGGGAUGGAGGCCUUCGGGUUGUGAACCUCUUUCGCCAGUGAAGCAGGCCUGCCUCGUUUGUGGGUGGGUUGACGGUAGCUGGAUAAGAAGCGCCGGCUAACUACGUG
rnacentral:rRNA from 1 species